GAUAGAUAGAUAGAUAGAUAGAUAGAUAGAAUCAUGGCUCACAUGAUUCUAAAUGCUAGAAGUUCCAAGAUCUGAAGUUGGCAGGUUGGAGAGCCAGGAGAGCUGAUGGUGUAAGUUCCAGUUUGAGAGCAGAGGAAGGCCUUGAGUCAUGUCACAGGGGCCUUUUAUGAGUCAUAGGACACUAGCAAUGAACAUUUCUGGAGAACAAAAAUCAGUAACCAUCCGAAGAAUAGGACAGAAUCCUGACCUUUGGCCUCACUGCCCUUAACUACCCAGGAACAUCUUGAAAAAGAGAAUAUCCUAUGGGAGAACCAAGCCAUCUUUGCAGUAAGGAACACAUUCUGGGAGCUUCAUAAUUUCAAGGCUAUUUUAUAAACUGCUGCUACAACGAGAACAUGGAUGAGGACACUCUAGCUUCAGUUUACACCCUGGCAUUUGCGAACCAAUGCUGUACUUGAUGGGGAGGAACCUGAAGAUAGAGAGUUCUCGAAAGAAGUCAGACAUGAUGACAACUGCAGCUGCAGGGUGAAGGAUGGACAGAGAAGCAAGAGAGCCUUCAGACUGUCGGCCUGCCCCGCUUCUUGGUUCGCUCCACUUCAUCUCCUCUAUCAGAUCAAAUCAAUCUUCUAGGUUUCCUCACAACUCCAUGGCUCCAAGCUUCUAGCUGAACAAAAUCAACCUCAAAGAGGGAGAAGGGUGCCAACAUCUCAGCAGAAAAACACUUCUGGGCUCUCACCUCCAGUACCUUUCAUUCGGGUCAAUCCUGGCAUGGAACUAUUACAGUACACACAACUGGACUGAGGUGAGGCAGAGAGGAAAGGGAAGGCUGGCAGCAGGAACAGAGAAAGGCAAGAGGGACACCUCUUCCCAAAAGGCACCUCCUAUCACUUCUCCUCCAUUGGUCUGGUUGAAAUGUGAGGGAGGAGGACCUAAGAUGCAAAUAAUUUUAUAGAUAUUUUAACUAUAAAUUAGGAGUACAAUCACUAUUUCAUCUAAUCUGUUGACAACCACACACAACAGGCUUGAUAACCCUAGUUUGGCAGAUAAAUAGAGGGUCUGAGAAGGACACAAGUCUUCAUGUGAGAGACCCUGGAUUCAAACCCUGGUCCAUCAGAUUCUCUACUCCAGUUAUGGGGAGCCUGGGGGAGCAGCAGUAACUCAGAGAGUCAUAGGACACAGCAAGAACUUACACCAGAUUCUUAGUUUAGAAUCAGGAUUUGAGUCUGGGGAGGGCGUCUGGAGGGAAAAUGAGAUACAAUAAGAUAAAAUUAACCACAGGAAAAUACGUUCUGAGAGUUGAGCAGAGAAAAUCAAGCACAGAGGGACAGAAUAGCAUUUUUUUUUAACUGGCCCUUUCCAUAUUAAAAGACUAAUACUGAACCUGCUCAACAAUGCCAUUCUCCUAAGUCUAUAUAUAAAGAACGGGCCUUUGAUGGGGAAAAUAUAUAUAGCAUUUGCAUUCUUUUUUAGGAAGAAAAAAGUAUCGGAUUUGAAAAACCUCUCAGAAAGGGCAACGUUCGACGAGGAAGGUCUUUGCGCACUUAAUGCCUCUAUUUAAAUGCUAAUGCUAACCUAUAGCUCUGGGCCAUGCAAAAACUAAAGUUUUUCAAAGAGCAUAAAGUGAAUUUAAAAUGAAAACUUAAUUUCUUGAAUAAAAGAUUUUUAUUUCUGCAGAGAAGCUGACACACAGAAUUUCAUGAGAGGAACACCCUUCUGAUCAGGGUAAAAACCAGCCGGCGACACAGCAGGUGAGUUUAAUGGCAGGAACAAGGGCAGCCUCUGUCACAAAUGGGGGUUUCCCCUCAAAGACUUGCCUUAGGAGCUCAACGUUUGCUACAAAAUAUACCUUGCAGAGGGUGAUGCUUUUUUUCUUCCUCUUUAAUGGCCUGUGCUGAGUGAAUGCUCUUGUUUGGAAGAAAAGCUCGUGACCAAGGCAAGGUGGAGGCACAAGGCCUGGGGUCACUUGGCUCAGAAUAGCGAAGAGGACACAGAGUACUGGGUGAGGGGCUCCUGAGAGGUUUAGCAUUGCUUAUUUCCCAUGGGAACCAAAUGUAAUGAAUGCAGUGACUGAGGCCCGGAGUGCUGGCGAACCGUCUGUUCUGAAGUCAGAAUUCGGUGGAGGCUGGGAGACCACACGCCGUAUGUGAGUGCGCAGGGAACUGAACUCAGAAAAAUACAACUAAACAAAAUCGGGAAAUACCUGUAGUGGGGGUAAUGACUAGGAAGUGGAUAGAAAGAGGCUUCCGGGGUGAUUCUAAUAUUCUCUAUUUUUAUCUGCAUGAUGGUUAUAUGGGUGUAUUCACUUUGUAAAAAGUAAUCAAGCUGCAUAGUUAACAUUUGUACAGCUUACUGUAUAUACGUUAUACUUCAAUGCAAACAUAUUACCUUCCUCCUCCCUAUCCCAGCAAAAAGAAAGAAAAAAAAAGAGACCAGGCAACAGGCUAUGUGUUGGGGUGGGUACUUGGAUAUAUUUUUAACUCAGUUUCAUAUCCUAACAUUAAGACAAAUGCUAAUUUUAUGAACCUUGAAAACAUUAUGCUAACUAAAAGAAGCUAGUCACAAAAGACCCCACGUUGUAUGAUUCCCUUUAUAUGGUAUGUCCAGAAUAGGCAAAUCCACAGAGACAGAAAGUAGAUUAGUGGUUGCCAGGGGUGGGGCUGAGGGAACGGGGAGUGACUGCUAAUGAAUACAGGGUUUCUUUUUGGGGUGAUGAAAAUCUUCUAAAAUUGGCCAGUGAUGACGGCUGCACAACUCUAUGACUACACCAAAAGAGCCAAUGACUUGCACACUUUAAAAGGGUAAAAGUUCAUGCUAUGUAAAUUAUAUCUCAAUAAAGCUGUUAUCAAAAAUGCUAAUUUUAUGAACUAGAACCCUGAUUUCUUAACUAUACUGAAGAUAUACAUCCACAGCCAAUACUGUUGUGAAGAUUGAUCCAUUAAUCAAGACAUUUGCUGCUGGUCAACGCUCUCCUGUGAUAUUUGCAAGAAAGAUCCUGUAAGCUGACAGAUAAGAAACAUUUCCACCAGCUCACAUGUUCACUAAGUGGCCCUGAAACGUACUAAAGCCAUUUCUCAGGGUUCUAUACUUUUGUAGGUUCUGUGAUCCCCCAGCAUCUUUGCACUAAAUGCCUUUGAACUCCCUCCAUUCUUAUAUACUAUUCUCAACAAAAAUUUAUGACAACUAAUAAUGAAUAACCCCUACUAGGACAAUAAGUUUGAAUUGGGAACAAUUCUAUGUGUCUGAUUACAGAGUGACAGAAAUGUAAUUGAGCCAAAGAUUCACUAAAGAGUAUAUUACUGUUUUUAUUAAAGGGAAUGAUUAGUAUUUAUUUAACAAUUACUAUAUGCCAGGUACUUUUCCUGAUUUCAUCCUCACGAUUAAGGGUCACAAAGGCUAAAAAGCUAGAGUCCUCUGGCUGGUUAACAAGAGGCAGGUUGAAUUCUGCCUACAUCAUAUACUACCCAAUCACACCUCCCUCAGAUCACGCCAGGACAGCUCUGAGUUGGGCUGUGGGAAAACAGUUUACACUCAGAAUCAAACUUGGGGAGAAAAACGUUUACUCAUGAUCAAGAGACCUGUUGAGAUCAUAUUUGUGACAGCCCUAUGCAAACUGUAAAAUGCUAUACAAAUACACAUAUCUGGCAAGAUUGUAUUAAUAUUAUUCUAGCCCGGGUAUUGGGUGGGAGAAAAACUAGAAGCUGAGGGGCAGAUGACCGCUCACGGGGCGAAUGCUGUGCUCACUUACACUAAGAGAAAGUGGGAAAUGAAACUUCUUGCCAUUAUCUGCUCUUUUACGUGGCUGACCUUCAGAUCUUUAUUCAUGGUAAUGAGUGACUCUUCAAGGUUGAGUUGAGGCUGUACUAGGGAGGAAGGCAGGGCGGGAUGGCCUGUGGUCUCAGCGGGUACAGAUUUAAAGAAAAAGUAUGUUGAUCCUUAAUAGGAAAAGUCGAAAGUUAUUCAAAAGGCAGCAUAAAUAGCCCAGGAACCUGAACCGGGUUUUUCACAAAUACUGCAAAAGAAGGUGGUAGGAAAGAGCAAAAGGGCUUAUUCCCAUUUCCUUCACACUUGCUACCUUCAGAAUUAGCGUCUCAUAAUUUCCACUGCUUUCAAAAAUCUAGUGAAAACGUUCACAGCGCUUCACAUAUGGUCUAGUGGGGCUCGGUCAGCACGCAGGAUGUAACCUACUGAUUACUCUCCUGUGGCCUCAGGGAACUGCUGCUCUCAUGACCUGAGCAUCAGUGGAGAAACGAAAUCAGAGGAAGGUGGUAGAGAGGAUUACUUGAGGUUAUCCACGAGUCAGAAGUAGAGUUACGAUUAAACCCACUCUGCCUGAACCCCCAAGUUGCUGAUCUAGUCACUCGACCACACUCCAUCAUUGUCCAGGCCAGUGCUCCUAACCAAGGUUACCCUAAAUACCCUGCUUCAAAUCAGCACUGCUGUAUUGGAGCUGCAGACACUAUGCAGGGCAGUGUGGAAACAGACAAGGAAGAAACAAGUAAGCCUUCGGUCUGUCCUUUCUGCAGUGAGGCUGUUCUGGCCAGUUUCCUGCCUCUUCUCUCCGCACUUCUCAACACUUCGUCUAAAUUCACAGGCACAGGAGAGAACUCACCUGCUGUCCAAAAUACUCACCUGAGCGUAGCACUCCUCAAUAUAUUAUAGUUCGAAAGCAAAGAAUGUCCAAGUCUAAGGUGAUGCUGGGAGAUGUUACACGGUACUUAUGAGCCAGGAAAAAACCACUAUGCCUGGAGGUCCCUGAAUGGCCCAGACCUGGGGUGUCCCGCCCACGCCAGGCUUACACUUCUGUUGAGAAUCUGCUUUACUGGCAAACAUUUCUAAUGUUUUCAAAGAGAAACAUUUCAAAUGUGGUGGUGAAACAAACAUUGGUUUGUGACCCAAAUGUUUCUGCAAAUGUUUUCUCAGGCUUGGGGAUGCAAAUGUUUACAAACCAUUUGGGCAGGAAAAAUGCAGUGAUGCGUUUCAGAAAUAGUUGCUUGGGGGAAAAAAAUCCCAGUGCUACCGAGUGCAGCCAGGAUGCCAUUAAGAAAAUGUCCAUGGGUUCUUUUAUAGUCCACGUGACAUCGCAGACACAAUGUGACAUCUCAGAUGCAUCUACUCCAGUCCCUGCCCUGCCGCUAGCUAAUUAGUGAUCGUGAUCCCACCACUUAAUCCCAUUGUACCUCGGUUUCCGUAUGUGGAAAAAUAAAUAGAUUAGACUAGAAAAGAUGACAUCUAAAAACCAUCCCAACCCAUGGAGGAGACUUAAGUGGCAGGAGAGGCACAUUAAUAUUAUUUCCACUUGCCAGAAAAAGAAAUUCAGGCUUGGGGGAAUUAGGCCCCAAGUCACACAGCUAAUCAGCAGCACAGCUUAAAGCUGCAUCUCCUAAACCUGGACUCUUCUAUCGCACCACACAGGCUCUCGACAGUUUUUCUGGCUCCCUGGCUUCCUGGGUGCCUCGGUAGUAAACAACGGUGUCCCCAGUCAGAGAUGGCCCACAUUUGCUAUUUGUCCUUUCACUUUCAUUUUUUUUCUCCCAUGCUUUGUGUCACUCAAUCUACAUUGAAAAAAGAGGGCUUUUGACAAGAGCAUUGAGCACCCUGGGAAUGCGGUAGAUGUUGCUUUAUUUCAGCGCAUAUUCAAUGGAAAGUAAUAGUGGCUUCACUAUAAUAAAGAGCUCUAUUGUGCUUUGUAAUGAAGAUACAAAGCACUUAGUUGAAAUCACAGUCUUUUAAACUAAUCUGCUUUAUAUUCUAUAGUGGAGACCCAGAUACAGGGAAUUCAAAGUGAUUUCUACAGAAUGAUUUACUCAAAGUAGCCAGACCUCCGAGUGGGAAGCUCAGUUUUGUCCAGAUACUUACCUCUUGGGUCAGGGCUUCUUCUCUUUGCUCUUUUCCUGCCGUGUUUAGGCGGGCACUCUCUGAUCUUUCUCAAUGUUUAUUCUACUUGUGAGUACUGACAGAUUUCCCAGUAAAAAUCAUUACACGUCACAUGGUCUCAGUCAGGGUACAGAAUCCCACACCAUCUACCUCUAUAAACACACUCACAUGUGCACACCAGAAUACAAGACAGCUAGCUCAGGGGGAGGAGACGGAAAUGAGGAUUUUAAAGCCUUUAAAUAAAGAUUAUAACUGUUAUUGGACUCCACAAAGAUACAGAGUAAUUAAAAAGCUCUUCAAAGAAGGGAAUAAGUCCAUUAAAUCCAGUUAAAUAAUUUUUCAGAAACAUUUCUUGCUGUUUCGUUCUCUCACAAUGAACUGGAGGAAGAAUAUCUCAUUUUCCAAAUGGGACUUUAUGGAGUUUUCAAUAAGUCCCCUCAGUACUUAUCUAAAUCUUUAAUUAGUUCUAUAAUAUACUGAUGAUAUCAAGCCUAAUUAAAUUUAUAUAGAUAAGGCGCAAUGAAAUUCUAACCAAGUGAGCUGGAAAGCAUAUAUUAAAUAGUAAAUUUAAUGGUUCAAGCUGAUAACUACAAUUUUAUAUCAAAAAAUUAAAUUCAAUUUACAUGUUGUAUUCAAAUUGAUUUUGAGUGUGCAAAUUAUUGGAAAAAUCUCUUGAAUAUAUCAGUAAAAUUGCUAAUCCAGCCUGUUUAAAUAUCAGUUAUUAAUGUCUGCACUUGCAAAUAAGCCACACACAUUUGCAUUUUUGCCACAUAUAGUAAAAAAUUAUCUAAACUUUAUACCAUUUUAUUAAGAAUACUAAGUGAUUUUUCUUUUGGCUUCAUGCAUAUAUUAAGGAGGUAAAGAAAUGACUAUUGGGCCUAAAGAAGAGAGUCAGCAAUUCAAUAUACAGCAAGGCAAAGACAAUAGAUAUAUUUUGCUGACUAAAGCAGUUGAUGUUACCCUUUGGAAACAGCAAUUACGAUGGUAAAAUUCUCCCUUGCUUUGGAUCAACUAGAAUGGAACCAUACACAAACAGCUGAUGCCAUAAUCACAGGGAGAGGCAGACAUACACCAAUUUGGUGGUGUUUACCAUCAGUUUUAGGAAGCGGAGGGAAAUGCAAUGUUAUGUUUAUCAGAAGGUAAAGGUACAUAACAGCUGACUGCAUUUCUCAGUUCAGUCAAGGAAUACGCUUGGGAAGCUAUAUUAAACAUUCAUUUGACUAGUCAGAGAAGGCCCAACCACCUACACCACAUAAGUUGAUUGAUGCACAUUUGUAAAAAUUUGUGCAGUGAUUACUCAGGACCAGCCAUUAUCUGCUUUCCCCAAAACAUACCUCUAUUACCCUUGGAUUCCAUUGGUUGGAAAGCUAUCUUUGAAAUUAUCAAAUAUUUAUCAAAUAUCCAUUAUAUGUCAUGUGUUUGCAUUAUGGGAGAUACAAAUAACAUGCCAGUGACUUCAGAGAACAGAAAAAUGAGUGUCAACUGGAGUAGUCAAUCAUUCCAGAAACGGGGUGGAAGUGUGAUGCAUUACGAAGAACAGGAAGCUUAAGAAUAAGUCAGAACAGCCAGAACAAAGGCAUGGAAGGUGGAGUACAUGUAAUGAGUUACAUGUAAGGAGGACUGUGAGAUCAGUGGGAACAGAAGUUUCUGGAAUAAAUAAUGAGAGAAGAAGCUGGCCAGUUAAGAAAGGACAGUUAUUAGGAGAACUUCUAUUCAAGCCUGAAAUGAAUAGAUGGAUGAGGCAUAGAGGGUGUCAGAAAUUUUUGUUAUGUAAAAUCUAAGAUUAAGGGAUAGGGAGUGGAACGAAGGUUCACAUUUGGCAGAUCUUGAGCCUACUUUUACAGAGAACCAAAACCAAAGUGAAUGAAUCUGCUACUAAUAUCUGAAAACUUAGAGGGAGAAUUGCUAGGACCAGAUAAGGAUGAUGCAAGAUCAACAGGAGCCAAGGAUUACCCAGAUUUCCUUGGUGAAAAGAGAAUGUUGUCAAGUUUAGAAACAGGAACUUGCUUUAUGAGAGAAGAUGAGCUCUUUUUGAAUGUACACUGUUCAAUAAAGUGAAAGCCUGUGUAUUCAGAGACUCUAUCCCCAUGGUUUUUCAUUCCAUUGCAGCAGCUAAGUGAAACAUGAAUAGCUGGGGAGCGGUGGUGAAUUCUGAAUGGAGGACUAUGAUGGAGGGCAGAGAAGAGGGAGACAGUACUACCAGGAUCUCUAUUCAGACCAGAUGGAAGGAAGAGAGCUGGGCAACAUAAAAGUGGGUGGAUCUUUCUGUGUCACAGCAAGGAAAAUGAAGGAAGAACCUCACUAUCUGCAGAAGUAGGAACACAGGUUACGGCAUUUAUCGUGUAGACCUAUACAUGUAUAUCUUUUGAUGUGCACUUUGAGUGCUUCGAGAGUACUGGGUAAGCAAAUGUUCAUUUAUCUUGAUUCUUAAGGUCCUCACCUAGAGCCAGUCAAGCCCUAGAAAGAUCUUGGUUCAAACUUAUAGCCCAGGGAUCUUACAAGAGCCCUGAUUAUGGCUGAUGGUAAUAUAUGCAGAUUGAGAGCAUCCUGUGGUGUUCCUGUCUGCUUGGUGUAGGCCUCGCAUUACUAUCUGCAAAGAUGCGGGGUAUGGGGGCCAUGGAGGAGAGCAAAGAAACAUAAGGUGAGAAAUAGGGAAAGUAGAACAAGAGAGAUGAGAAGGCAGAGGUAGGGGAGACAAAGAUAGAGAAUAAAAUUAAUGUUUUGCAAGUGAUUUCUCAAAAAAGAUUAAUUUAUCCACAUAAUUUAGCUCAGCACUCCAAGACAAUUUAAGAGCUAUGUAAAACAAAUUAGAGAGGCCAACAACUUCUGAAUAACUGACUCCAUGCAGUGGUUCCCGAAGAGCGCAAAUGUAAAUAUAGAUGCCUGGAGUAUCAACACAGCGCUCGGGGAAAAUAUUUUUAUCCACACUGUGUAACGUCUCCUGGAAUUAAUAGGGCUUAAAUCUUUUUAUGUGUUCACAGGAUCUCCAUGGGAGAAGUCUCAGGCUGCUACAUCUCAGGCUGCAUGUUAAAAUCCUAAAUCUGACGUGUGAAAGUUCAGCAAUGCCAAUCCGCCUGGUGCAGAUGCCUGGCAGUUGAAUGAGUUCAGGCAGUCCCCAUCUGCCAGCUAUGCUAAUUCUUAUCCAAUCAAUAUUGCAACUCGUAGCCUCAUGCUUCCCAGACCUGCCUCUGAAAAUGUGAUGUCAGUUCCACUGUGCUGUCCACAGUAGGUGAAGGAGGCAGAUAUUGCACUGGAUUCUGUUCCCAUCUUGACCUUUUAAAGAUGGAUAGUGGAAAGACAAGUUACCUGUUUUAGUUCUGUGUUAUUCACAGUGCUAGGCAUCUUGAAAAGAACUCCCUAGAUUCAGAAUCAGGUGGUAAGUAAUAAGAUGCUGAGGAUUACUGUUUUAUAACUAGAAUACUGGAAAUAAAAAUAUGUGCUUUUUCAAGAAUUCCUGGGCUCUAGUUGGGGAAUAAGAACCUGUAAAAAGUCAAAAGAAGUCUUCAGUUUAUUUUAUUGUGGCAUUCCGUUCAACAAGCUGUUUGAACCUAAGGCAACUGCUCAAGGGCAUUCAGAGCAGAAAUGAGAAAGAUGAUGCCUCCAUGUAGGACCAAGAAAGCCCCCAAGGAGGGAUGGGGAUAACUCACUUCUAAACUGUGCCUAAAAUCUUCAUGGUAAAGCAUACAAAGCCAUGGAUGCUAAAGCUACAGGAACACUGCUCUGUCUCCGUGCCUUCGUACAGCACGUGUAGAGCAGAAAAUCUAACACCAGGAUCUCAUCUCGAUUGAUGCCUGUUGUAACUAAUUGAGAUGAUACUUUUGAACCUCUUUGAGCCUCUCCACCAGGGAAAAAUACUAGAGAAAUUCAAUUAUUAUUGAAUUAUAAUCCUAUAAUAUAUUUUAUCCAUCAUCUCAUGCUUUUUGAUUAUCUGAGCCUGAUUUCUUUUUAUAAUUCAAAGCGUUUCACUGAAGAAAUAAAGUUACCCUGGUCUCCUUCUGUGAGGAAACCAUCCCACUGAAAUCCCCUUCAAUGGAGCUCCCUAGGACGCGGCUCAGGGCAAUGUGGGAGCAGUUUGCAGUCUUUGAUUGAGAAAACUUGGUCAAAACCAACUGAUAUCAUCUCCCUUUGGUCUUUAUCCUUGCUGCUUUUCAUCUCGCCCCUUGUUACUAUACUCAUGUUUCAAAUGAGAAUUGAAUUCCUCUGCCUUGCCCCCUAAUUUGACUCACUUUUCAAUAAUGUCAACUGACUAUCAAACACAUAAAAACUGGGAAACCAAGUGCUAGAUAUCCUUUUGCACGUUGCAAUAAGAAGAAAAAGAACUGACAAUUGCUGACAUCCUCCUUGUAUUUAUACUAGUAGGUACUUCUGUUUGCAGUUUCAUUUAAUCCUUAAAACCACCCUAAAACGUAAACCAAUCAUUUCCAUUUUAGAGAUAAGACAACUAAAGUGUUAAAAGGUUAAGGAACUAUACUGGAGGUUACGCAGCUACUAAUAAGUGGUAGAGGUGGGAUUCAACCCUGGUGUGCAUUUUCUUUCCACUUUACCAAGUUGCAACACAAGAAAGUUUUGAGAAGAGACAUAGAAUCCUUCUGUUUAUAUAGACUCUAUAUAUUAUGGAACAGCUAUGGAUUAUCUAAAGAGAUGAAGCAUCUCUCAGGAUCUAUGGAUUAUAUACAGCUGUUGAAUCAAAGAAAAAAUGAUUUAGCAGCUCUAAGGAUCCUGAUUUGAUACAUAAUCAGAAAGAAGGAAUCUAUAUUUCUAGAUUUCAAGGGAGAAUUACUGAACAAGGAAGCAGUCACUAUGGGUUUUUGUUUUUCUGAAUUAUGUCUGUAAUUGAACUGAGUAUAGAGACAACACAGAUAACAACUUUCCUUUAAUAGGCCUAUUGGUAUGAAUAUUUAUCAAUUGAGAGAGAUGAGAUUAACAGUUGUCAUGCCUAAGUCUUAGGUUCAUGCUGAGAUACAAAUUGCCAUUUCCAGGGACCUUCAGCCAAGUCAAGUCGGCUGAAGAGAGGCUGCAAGAAGGCAGCUGUCCAUUUCUGUUGCCAGGGACUGGUUUAGAGGAGGGUGUGUGAUACAACCUGGGCCGGUAAGACACGAGAGGAAGUCUGCAGAGGGACUGCUGGGAAAUGCUUCCGUGUUGACAAAAAUAAAGCACAGAAAGAGAAACAGUCUUUUUCCACUGGUUUUUGUGAUGCUUGGAAAUGCAGGAACCACCCUGGGACUGCAGAGUGGGAUCUGGAGGAGGAAGCCAAAACACCUUGAGGAAGGAAGAGCAGAGAGCUGGCAAGAACCUGCGUUCUUAAGGACAUCAUUGGGCCACUGAAUUAGCCAACCUUCCAGCCACUCUAGCUUGGGACUUCACAUUAUGCGAAAUAAAACAUUAAAAAAAAAGUGUUUUAAGUCACUUAAGUGAGGGUUUUCUGCUACAGGCAGUCAAAAGUAUCCUAAUAGAUAAAUUUCCUGAUGUGAAAGAUAAAGAUACGGCUUACCUGUAAUACAUCUCUCCUCUCCCUAGUAUUUUAUUAUGUUAGUGUGAAAAUGCUGUUCUUCAUAAUUUAAAUAACCUAUCUAAACCACUGUUUUUACUUCCACUAAUCUGCCUGCCCCCACAUUUUAGGAUGAAGCUAUGAAUUUCCCUUUUUUAAAACUUUCUUCCUCCCUCUACUGUCUACCCACUGCCCUCCACUCUGACCCCAUCUUCCAUUCUUCCAUUUUCUCUCGGCUGCAUUGUCACUUUUGCCAGUACUGUCCUGAAAACACAAUCAAGUCUGCCAUGCUUUGUCUGCAUGAUGAUUCAUGAAAAACAAUAAAAAGUAUUUCCAUCAAUGUGUGUGUGCUAAGUAGUGUUCAGUGCGAGGUGCAAUACUGUGUAAAGGAUUACAUUUCCUUCUCCAUCAGUCAGUCAUAACUGGUGGGCCUCUCAAGGAGGAUGCUUCUGGAAGUUUGCUUUGUAUUUGGACCAUGAAUUUCUUGUACGGUUAUUUUUUUCCUGGAAAUUUCUGAUUGACUUUUGUUUUUUUUACAUUGUUUGUAUUUAUCAUACCUUAAAUUUUUUUUUUAACUUCUUAAUCAUACUAUUCAUUUUCUU